UUUAUUGUCAGUGCAGUAAAUUGCUUCCCAACAUCCUCUUUGGGAUCGUGUUGUGAGCUCUUCACUUGAUUUGUGAAAGCCAUGUUCAUUAAGCUCAUGACUGCAAUGGUAAGUGAGGCUGCUAUCUUGAAAGAUUCCUUGGCAUUGUUUUUUCCACGCAUGGAAAGACAGCGCAGUCUGCAGUGUUCUGGUAUGACCACAGGAGAAGAAAGCAAUCAUGCUGUGAGCAGAAGUGUCCUCCUCCUUACUGCUUCUGAACCUCCUACUAUAGGUUCUGCUGAGGAGUAUCCUGUGGUAUCAAAGGACAGCUCUGUCUUACUAUCUUUGUUCAGAUGGGUGGAAAUUUGCCUUUUGCACAUUUGCACUUGUGGAAAAGACAACGGAAUUUAAUAGGUCACACAGCUGGCAGAAUGCACCAAACAGGUAACCUUCUUCCUAUAAAUGUGUUUCUGGAAAGUGAUAGCCUUGUGAGCCCCUCCAUUUAUGCUAAGGAUAGAGUCAUUACGGGCAGCCUUUCCUUUCUGUCCUCCUAAUGUGUCCUCGUCUUCUCCAUUUCAGUAACAGAAAUUAAAUCUCCCUGCCUGGUUUGCUCUUCUGCUUUAUGCUUCAGCCAAAGCAAUGCCAGCUGAUGCUGGUGUGGUGGUAAUACAGCACUUGUGGAUGCUCCCUGGAUAUGGACUGCAACAAAUGGGUUACUGCCAGAGGGCCCUCAGGUGGUAAAUACUGCACUGGCUACCUGUCUGAGCCUCAUAGUGUUUUUGAUGUUCAUUGGCAGAGGUCACAUGCAGCCACACGUACCUCUCCAUGAGCAGCAAGGAGGUAAUGGUGGCUUCAGUCUCAGAACCGAACGUGAAUUCAGAAUAGGAGUCUUAAAACAGUGUCACUGAAUUUGCGCAGUAGCAAAGCUGAGCCCCGAACAGAGAAAUAUGCAGUCUUUCUUAAGACGUGUUGAGACAUCCUCCUGCAGCUGUGAUGGGCUAUCAGCACAACAUCUCCACCCUUUCACCAGAGGCAACCUCUCAGAGGCAACUUUGUCUUCAGACUUCGGUUGUAUAUCAUCUAUUCUCAACUAGUGUCAAAAGACCCAGGAGUUUCUGGCUGUCUGCUGGGAGCAUUGAUCCACUCACCACAACUGCCUUCUUUGUUCUGAUCCCUGGAGAAGUAUUCUGUCCCCCGUUUUUAUUCCCCCCUACCCGCCCAUGGUCUUCCUGAGACCUGCUGGCAGGGGGAGGUUUUCACAGCCUGCGCUGUUGAUUCUGAGAAGUGUGAGGGAAACAGAGCCAUGCUGGGUGAUGUGACUCACCUUGAAGGAGCUGGUGUUUUCUGUCUGAGUGGAAGUGGAAAGUUUCAGCCUUGCUAGUCCAGAUGUUUUAAUGGACAUGGCUGCAGUAGAGAAACCCUUUUCUGCACGUCUUGCUGAGCCCGGAGUAGGAGAGUAACAAGUUACAUACUAGCAUAAAUGUUUAAUGAUUUAUGAUAAAAAAAAAAAAAAAAGAUGGUGAGUAAAAUACUAGGUUAAUUGACUAUGGAGUCCUAAAUUCCCCAAAAUGUAGCAUUCCAGCCAAAUAUGGCUGAAAUAUCAGCUGUCAUAUGAUGAAUAUUUUAAAGAAUAUUCUAUUAUACACCUAGGGGUUCAUUCGCUUCAGUAAUGAGGACAGUUACCUCUAGGGAAAGGAAGCUAUAUUAUGCUUGCCACUUAACCAGGGGCUGGUUUGACAGGCAUCAGCUCAGAAUAUAUGUGUAUAUAUAGGGAAUCACAGCAGCUUGUCUCUAGCUCACUGAGCAGGAAAUGUGCUCUACAAUACUUUGGGUUUCUAUCUAUGGAUUUGUGCAUGGUACUGAGUGGGAUUCAGACUAUUUUUAUUCCUGAGUCUGAUUGUUGAGGUGGAAUCCAUCACCUACUAAAUAUUAAAUCAGCAGUUUUUUUUUAAAGAGCAACACUGUCUCUGCUGACUUGAACAUCCUUAUGUGGCCCAGAGGAAAAGAGAAACAAAGACAAGAUGAGAAAACUAUCGUCUUUUGCAUUCUUCUUAAUAUUAAUGAUUUCUCUAAAGUUUUCAAACUGUUGAAGGCGAAAAGUGAGCUAGAACUUUCACAUGGGUAAGAAAUGACCCAGGUGAAAAAAAAAGCAUACAUUAUAAAAAGAGCAGUGAAACUUCUAGAGUUGAAUUAUUAGUUGGUAGAGAUGGAGAAAAUGCAUCAACAGAUUAUUUUUUUAAACCAAUUUUGUUUAAUUGUUUCCAAACAAACAUGGCUGGGAAUUAUUAGGAAUGUGUUAAUUCAAAAUUAUUAGAACACUUUCAUGCAAAGGUAAUUAAUGUCAGAUUUUACACUGACUAUUGCUUCUGCAAUCUAAUGUUUGCAAAUGAUGACAUUUUGAGAUACCUGCCCAACCUACAUGGUAUUGUCUAUCUUGCCAGGCUGACUGGAAUCGGAUAUCGUUCCUUGUUUAUUUUGUUUUUGUCUAUUUAUUUAUUUUUAAAGUUAAUAGUUGCACUCAUAGGCACUACACAAAGGCAGCAAUCUGUGAGGUUUCUGAGUAUUUCUAAGAUACCUGUAGUUUCCUAUAUGAAUAAUCAUAAUGAACCACUGCACAAAUAAAAGCUCAUCUCUCGCACUUAAAGAGUCUGCACAAACCCCACUUUUAUGAUAACGAGCAGGUAGGUGAAAUAACAAGGCAUGAUAAAUGAUGUCAUAUUUUUUGGUUUUACAUUCUGCAAAAUAUUGACAUCAUCCCUUCUGUUCCAGAAACCAAAAUGAAUAACAGUUAUGAAAAUCUUCUAAACACAAUAAAGAUUCUUAAAAGGUUUCUUAUUUCUGACUGCUAAGACAGAAGUUAAUUACUUCUGUCACAUUUUUGAGACCUCUGAUGGCAUACCAAAAUGUCCUCGAUGCCCUGUGCCAUGGCACAUCCCAUCCUAUCCUGUGGCAGAAGAAUUUUAGUCCUUUGAUUAAUUUCAUAUAAUUAUCCUUCUUUAACCAGAUAAGUUAUCUAGGUUGCAGAAUACAAGUGAUUUAAUCUGAUGCUUUUUAUUAGAUAAACUGACCCCUCAAUGUGAUAAAGGACAAAAUAAAAGUACUCAUUAAGUUGAUGCCUUUGCAUAAUUCACAUGCAUUUUUUAAGGUCAUGUUACAUAUUCAUCAGUUUGUCUUAGUCACAGAGUUGCCUCCAUGAAUGCUGUGUAGAUAAGUGGGUAUCUGAGCUGCUUUGUAGGGGUGAGGGGAGGUAAGGAAAAAGGAAAAAACCUAGUAUGAGAAAUGGGAGGGAGUAAGUAGGACUAUAAGUCAGGAGAGAUUCUGAGCUAUAUCGUUCCCAGACUACACUUCUGAAUCUUUAGAUGUUUUAGAGUUUCCUUUCCCAGUAUAACUCUUGAUUUGUACUGGGAGUUUUGAUCAAUUUUUUAUGUUAUUAAAAACCCAAUGGUUAUUAUUUUUCACCUUGAGAUAAUGGUUAAAUAAUCUUAAAAUUGACUAAAAACCAUGAAGUUAUUUGUCAUUUUACCUGUUAAUUCAUUACUUGUGUUGUUUUUAAUUGUGCAUGAAAAAGAAAAUAUUUAAA